rnacentral:lncRNA from 1 species
GCACAGCUGUCGACUUGGUCCAUGCGUUGAGGGACGCGCAUCUCCAUGCCUGCUUUCUUCCGAGGCGGCAUUCUCAUUUCGGUUUCUUCCCCCCAGGUUCAUUGCACAAGCGGGCACCUGCAGCCCCGACUUUUCCCGGAUCAACCAGUGGUGUCCUUCAUGCUACAAUACUUCAAGCGUCCGCAGGUCAUCGACAGCUUCGUGACGAUGCUCCAGGCAGGUGUUGGGUCCAGCAAACACAUGCCCUGGUCCCUUACUUGCAAAGGGCAGCAUCCUGUAGAUGCUAUCAUCCUCACUGCACUCGUGCACCGUCUCGUGUAUCCCAGUUUUCAAGCUCAGCUUUUAGAGUCAACCACGUAACCCAAGGCGGCUUCCCAGCUUUUGGGCCUCUUGAGCCCUCCCCGCAUGGCUUCGAAGAGGAGCGAAUUGUCGUCGUGCUGGGAUGUGCUCUCCACCUCAUAUCUUGUCCUUGUCUCCUCUCUCUGCUACUCAUUUGCGAUGAUACCACUACCCCAUGCUUGGGGUCCCGACCUGCAGGCUUGCAACCAGUUGGUCCCGUCACAGUUUCUUAUUAAUGUCGACAGCCCCCAGGUAGGCCCCGUACAACCCCCCAUCACGCGGCCGUAAGGAUUUCUUAUCGCAAACACGACCUCAGGUCCCCGUACCAGCCUCGACAUAUCCAUGCAUGUCCAGUGACCCGUAGCGAGUUCACCGUGGCUGCUGGUGUAUUAUCCCCACCCCGCAAUGCCGUACCUGAGGAUAGUCCUCUUAAUGAGGUUAGCCAUUACACGGGUGCUUUCUUCUUGUCAUAACAGUGCUGGUUGCAGUGCAAGAGCAGAGGAGGGAUCCGCUGUGAUCUGCUCUUGCACAAUCAACAUGGGUACGUUAGGAAGCGCGGAAGGCGCAAAAGCAUGUGGAUCCAUCCUGUGGAUCCAUCCCCUUAUCUGCGUUCCAGGAG